UGCGUAGGCGGGUUUCUAAGUCAGAGGUGAAAGCCUGGAGCUCAACUCCAGAACUGCCUUUGAUACUGGAAGUCUUGAGUAUGGCAGAGGUGAGUGGAACUGCGAGUGUAGAGGUGAAAUUCGUAGAUAUUCGCAAGAACACCAGUGGCGAAGGCGACCACCUGGACUGAUACUGACACUGAGGUGCGAAAGCGUGGGAGCAAACA
rnacentral:rRNA from 1 species